CUUUCCUGUUCUGUGUGUCUCAGAUGUGGACGAGUGUGUGAGGAGCCCCUGCAGUCAUGGAGGCACCUGUCAGGACCUGAUCAACGGGUUCAAGUGCACCUGUCCGGCUCAGUGGAGCGGGAAGACCUGCCUCAUCGAUGCAAACGAGUGUGACGACAACCCCUGCGUCAACGCCCACUCCUGCAGGAAUCUGAUUGGAGGGUAUUUCUGCGAAUGCCUCCCAGGUUGGACGGGAAAGAACUGUGACACCAAUAUCAACGACUGCCAAGGUCAGUGUCAGAACGGAGCCACGUGCAAGGUGAGCUGAU